GCUGGUCAAGGUGGCGUGUUCCUGUAGUCCCAGCUACUCAAUGAGGCUGAGGCUGGAGGAUCACUUGAGCCCAGGAGUUCUGGACUUGAGCGUGCUAUACCAAUUGGGUGUCCGCACUAAGUCUGGCAUCAAUAUGGUGACCUCCCAGGAACAGGGGACCACCAGGUUGCCUAAUGAUGGGUGAACGGGCCCAGGUCAGAAACUGAGCAGGUCAAAACUCCCAGGCUGCUCAGUAGAGGGAUCGCACCUGUGAAUAGCCACUGCACUCCAGCUUGGGCAACAUAGGGAGACCCCGUCUCU
rnacentral:SRP_RNA from 1 species